GAUGAACGCUAGCUACAGGCUUAACACAUGCAAGUCGAGGGGCAGCAUGGUCUUAGCUUGCUAAGGCCGAUGGCGACCGGCGCACGGGUGAGUAACACGUAUCCAACCUGCCGUCUACUCUUGGACAGCCUUCUGAAAGGAAGAUUUAUACAAGAUGGCAUCAUGAGUCCGCAUGUUCACAUGAUUAAAGGUAUUCCGGUAGACGAUGGGGAUGCGUUCCAUUAGAUAGUAGGCGGGGUAACGGCCCACCUAGUCUUCGAUGGAUAGGGGUUCUGAGAGGAAGGUCCCCCACAUUGGAACUGAGACACGGUCCAAACUCCUACGGGAGGCAGCAGUGAGGAAUAUUGGUCAAUGGGCGCAGGCCUGAACCAGCCAAGUAGCGUGAAGGAUGACUGCCCUAUGGGUUGUAAACUUCUUUUAUAAAGGAAUAAAGUCGGGUGUGGAUACCCGUUUGCAUGUACUUGAUGAAUAAGGAUCGGCUAACUCCGUG
rnacentral:rRNA from 1 species